AACGAAGGUGGCAAGCGUUACUCGGAAUUACUAGGCGUAAAGGGCAGGUAGGUGGUUCGAUAAGUCUGUUGUGAAAGCUCCCGGCUCAACUGGGAGAGGCCAACAGAAACUAUCGGACUUGAGUAUGGGAGAGGGUACUGGAAUUUCCGGUGUAGCGGUGAAAUGCGCAGAGAUCGGGAGGAACACCAAUGGCGAAAGCAGGUACCUGGACCAUUACUGACACUCAACUGCGAAAGCUAGGGGAGCAAACAG
rnacentral:rRNA from 1 species